ACAGUAUUGAAGAAAGAGGACAAAGUUUUGCUUCGAAGCUGCUGCCGAAAAUCAGURAAGUUCUUGUUAUUUUAGGAGUAAGGAUGGAUAAAAAAAGUGCUAUUCUGUUGUUUCUGGUGUCUGUCUUGUGUCUUCAUUCAGUGAUKUCACUGUCAUGCUACAAGUAUUACAAAACAAGCAUAAACCCAGA